rnacentral:rRNA from 1 species
ACGCUGGCGGCAUGCUUUACACAUGCAAGUCGGACGGCAGCACAGAGAAGCUUGCUUCUUGGGUGGCGAGUGGCGAACGGGUGAGUAACAUAUCGGAACGUACCGAGUAGUGGGGGAUAACUGAUCGAAAGAUCAGCUAAUACCGCAUACGUCUUGAGAGGGAAAGCAGGGGACCUUCGGGCCUUGCGCUGUUCGAGCGGCCGAUAUCUGAUUAGCUAGUUGGUGGGGUAAAGGCCUACCAAGGCGACGAUCAGUAGCGGGUCUGAGAGGAUGAUCCGCCACACUGGGACUGAGACACGGCCCAGACUCCUACGGGAGGCAGCAGUGGGGAAUUUUGGACAAUGGGCGCAAGCCUGAUCCGGCCAUGCCGCGUGUCUGAAGAAGGCCUUCGGGUUGUAAAGGACUUUUGUCAGGGAAGAAAAGGCUGUUGCUAAUAUCAGCGGCUGAUGACGGUACCUGAAGAAUAAGCACCGGCUAACUACGUGCCAGCAGCCGCGGUAAUACGUAGGGUGCGAGCGUUAAUCGGAAUUACUGGGCGUAAAGCGAGCGCAGACGGUUACUUAAGCAGGAUGUGAAAUCCCCGGGCUCAACCUGGGAACUGCGUUCUGAACUGGGUGACUAGAGUGUGUCAGAGGGAGGUAGAAUUCCACGUGUAGCAGUGAAAUGCGUAGAGAUGUGGAGGAAUACCGAUGGCGAAGGCAGCCUCCUGGGAUAACACUGACGUUCAUGCUCGAAAGCGUGGGUAGCAAACAGGAUUAGAUACCCUGGUAGUCCACGCCCUAAACGAUGUCAAUUAGCCGUUGGGCAACUUGAUUGUUCAGUAGCGUAGCUAACGCGUGAAAUUGACCGCCUGGGGAGUACGGUCGCAAGAUUAAAACUCAAAGGAAUUGACGGGGACCCGCACAAGCG